rnacentral:misc_RNA from 1 species
UCACAAAGGAUUUGGUCAACAUUUGGUAUAUAUUUGCUUUGUCCUAACGUGUAGCCUUAGAAUAUGUCUCUUUAUGUGCUUGUCUGGACGUCUGUUGUCUUCUUGUGUUCAUGAGAAACUUCAUACGUAUGUGGAAUCUUCUCUUAAAAUUGUAGUCUCACAUGGAAAAUUUGUGGCAUUUUCCUCUGCGAGAUAAGGAUUUCUGCAUCUUCUUAUCUUCUGUCUGCCUAGUUGAUGUUAUCCG